rnacentral:rRNA from 1 species
GGAGUCUGCAACCCGACUCCGUGAAGCUGGAUUCGCUAGUAAUCGCGCAUCAGCCAUGGCGCGGUGAAUACGUUCCCGGGCCUUGUACACACCGCCCGUCAAGCCAUGGGAGCCGGGGUACCUGAAGUCCGUAACCGUAAGGAUCGGCCUAGGGUAAAACUGGUGACUGGGGCUAAGUCGUAACAAGGUAUC